AAAGUACUCCCUCCAUCCCAAAAUUCUUGUCUUAGAUUUGUCUAGAUACGGAUGUAUCAAGUCACAUUUUAGUAUUAGAUACAUCCGUAUCUUGACAAAUCUAAGACAAGAAAUUUGGGAUAGAGGGAGUAGUUG
rnacentral:pre_miRNA from 1 species